UGAACAGUUUGUGGUAAGACCCCUAUCUCGGUUGCCCCAGCGCACAUCUAGAGAAACAGAACUCCUGUGGGAUUGCAUUAGUUUUACAGCAGCUAAAUUUUAUUCACCUUGGAUCUUCUGUGUUGGAAGAAACCUAUUCAGUGGUAAAUAAACGCCCACCUCCCCUCCAGCCCUCCCGUUUGUAGGUGACUGACCCUUGAAAAAUGUUGGAUAGAGGCAACCUUGACUUGGUACAGAACAUUGAAUCAUUUCCUCCAGCUAGAAGUUAUUUUUUCCUGAUUGUUUCUUCCCUUUUUUUUUGCCCUGCUGACGUACGUGGCACACAAGGUAUGUGUGGCUUCAAAUUGCUGCAGCCGUUCUGAUUUUUACAAGCACGGAGGCUUAUUCCGUGGCAAUUUGAUGUUCUGGUAGUUAGGUGAUGGCAGCUUAUUUUUGUGGAGACAGGAAUCUGGAGCUCCUGGUACAGCUUGAGCAGUGGCUUUGUUCUGUAUCUCAUGCUGGCCCCUCUUGAGGCCAUUCUGUGGGGCUGAAGGCAUACCUGAACCAUGAACAUUAAGGUACUUAGCAUUUUGGGAGGCAGAAUUGUGCAUAUUGUCAAGAACCCGUACUAAAUGACCCCCCUCUUGCGUGCUGGUUGAUUCUUCAUCCAAAUCAACUGACGGCUGAUCCAAAAUCAGGCAGUGUGGUUAUUCCCAGCUAGCUUUCUUGUCUCCUAUGAAACUCACCGUGUUUAGAUGCUGAAAUAUGAACUCUGUUUAAGACAUUUGCUGAAAAUGUGUUGGCAAAGUAGUAUUCAUCUUAGAGCAGUGUGAAAGCAGUUUUUAUGCCACAGUUACGUGUUCUCUGUUUGGAUAGCAGAACUGCCACGGCUUGUUGCUUACACGGUGUCCAGGCAGCAGUUGCCACCUUUGGGGUGAACGUAACAGCACUGCUGGUGCAGAGAAAUUUGCCUCUCGUUAUGAGAGAUUGGAGAAUUCCUUUCAUGGCACUGUUGUUAAGGAUUUAUUUUUGUACCCAAAGUGCCCUGAAUGAAAUGGCAGAAGUCCAGAAGUCUACCUGUAUGGCAUGCUCUCCUAUGUUGCUAUGA
rnacentral:lncRNA from 1 species